AUAUUUUUCUUGGCCUUUUGGCUAAGAUCAAGUGUAGUAUCUGUUCUUAUCAAUUUAAUAUUUGAGAAGUGGCUCAAUGGGUCACACAGUAUUAAAUUACUUUUUUGAGGGGGAGAGGUUCAAUAGCUUGCUAUUGGGCUUCUCAAGUGUCGCCUAUGUGUUUCACUACUGCAAAUGUGGGUUCACCCACC
rfam:Medicago truncatula strain A17 chromosome 2, whole genome shotgun sequence.